rnacentral:rRNA from 1 species
GUGGGGAAUAUUGGACAAUGGGCGAAAGCCUGAUCCAGCCAUGCCGCGUGUGUGAAGAAGGUCUUCGGAUUGUAAAGCACUUUAAGUUGGGAGGAGGGGCAGUAAGUUAAUACCUUGCUGUUUUGACGUUACCGACAGAAUAAGCACCGGCUAACUUCGUGCCAGCAGCCGCGGUAAUACGAAGGGUGCAAGCGUUAAUCGGAAUUACUGGGCGUAAAGCGCGCGUAGGUGGUUUUGUAAGUUGGAGGUGAAAUCCCCGGGCUCAACCUGGGAACUGCCUCCAAAACUGCAUGACUAGAGUACGGUAGAGGGUAGUGGAAUUUCCUGUGUAGCGGUGAAAUGCGUAGAUAUAGGAAGGAACACCAGUGGCGAAGGCGACUACCUGGACUGAUACUGACACUGAGGUGCGAAAGCGUGGGGAGCAAACAGGAUUAGAUACCCCUGUAGUCC